rnacentral:lncRNA from 1 species
CCCACCCUUAAUUUAACCGGAGUCACCAGUCAGCUCCUGAGGCAUAAACAGGCAGCUGAAGCACCGCGCGUAGGCUGACUUUAGUGCUGGAUGCCGAGCAGCGCUUGGCACAGGUGGAGGAGUUUUCAUCACAGACCCAAAUUAACUCCGGUGAAGUUGUUCCGCGCCUGCCAGUGCCGGAGGAGCAAUCUCCGUGUGGGAGAAGCGCCCAGCGCGCCGCCCUCCCCUCCCGGCGCCGCUCGCCCGAACAAAGGCGGCAGCGCCGGGUCCCCUUUGUGCGCCGCGGGCCGGGCACGGAGCGAUCCCAGUGCCCGCCCCGGGCUCCCAGCACGGUCCGGCCCGGCACGGCACGGCCCGGCACAGCUCAGCUCAGCUCAGCUCAGCUCAGCACAGCACAGCACAGCACAGCAGCGCGUCGGGAGGAAGCGCCGGCUGCGCGGCGGGCGGGCGGCUGCCCGGGCCCUGCCCGCCCCCGUCUCCUCCCCUCGGCCGCCGAUUCUCCGCCCCCUCCGCCCUCUCCUCGCGGCGGCGGCGGUGCCUUCCUCGGCCCCGGCUCCUCCGGCUCUCCACGGCUUCGCCUCGCUCCGCUCCGGGGGCUCCCGCGCCGCGCUGCCCAGCACGGGGAAAGCGUAUGGCCCGGGAGAAAGCCGCUGGAAGCGAUAG